rnacentral:rRNA from 1 species
UACGAUGGGGGCGAGCGUUGUUCGGAAUUAUUGGGCGUAAAGGGUGCGUAGGCGGUUUGGUAAGUCUUGUGUGAAAUCUACAGGCUCAACUUGUAGUCUGCACGAGAAACUGCCGGGCUUGAGUAUGGGAGAGGUGAGUGGAAUUCCUGGUGUAGCGGUGAAAUGCGUAGAUAUCAGGAGGAACACCUGUGGCGAAAGCGGCUCACUGGACCAUAACUGACGCUGAUGCACGAAAGCUAGGGGAGCAAACAGG